rnacentral:rRNA from 1 species
AUUGAACGCUGGCGGUAGGCCUAACACAUGCAAGUCGAACGAGAGGCGGACGGGUGAGUAAUGGCUGGGAAACUGCCCGAUGGAGGGGGAUAACUACUGGAAACGGUAGCUAAUACCGCAUACAAUCGGAUGAGCCAAGAUGGGAUUAACUAGGAGGGGGGGUAACGGCUCACCUAGGCGACGAUCCCUAGCUGGUCUGAGAGGAUGACCCGCCACCCUAGAACUGAGACACGGUCCAGCCUCCUACGGUAGGCAGCAGUGGGGAAUAUUGCACAAUGGGCGCAAGCCUGAUGCAGCCAUGCCGCGUGUAUGAAGAGGGCCUUCGGGUUGUAAAGUACUUUCAGCGAGGAGGCGUUACUCGCAGAAGAAGCACCGGCUAACUCCGUGCCAGCAGCCGCGGUAAUUC